GAGGCGGCAGUGGAGCUCGCUCCCUGUUCCUUCAAUCCGUGGCGGCAGUGGCUUUUCCUGUUCAGCCCCGUCGCCGGUAACACGUAUUUACCUGCUGGGCUUCAGGACAAAGAUAAGUUGAAGCCAAAGAGAAGAAGAUACAUCAAAUGUUGAAAAAUGGUCUGUACAGUCACCCAUCUAAAGACUACUCUAAAGACAAAGCAGCAAAAAUGUAACAUUAUUGUAAAACUAAAAAUAACCCAAAAUGUCUGGAAACAAACUGAUUGUGGGAUGCUUACUCAUGGGCAAGAGCCAUUCAUGAAAAAAAAAGGUUUAUUUAAAGAACAAUGGUAAUAGGUUGUUCUUCCUCAAACUGAAUAGCACACUGACUCACUCCUGUUAAAGCCUCAAGAAUGGUGAUCUUAGCUGAAAUUAUUGUUUACCUCCU
rnacentral:lncRNA from 1 species